GGUUAAGCGACUAAGCGUACACGGUGGAUGCCCUGGCAGUCAGAGGCGAUGAAGGGCGUGCUAAUCUGCGAUAAGCGCCGGUAAGGUGAUAUGAACCGUUAUAACCGGCGAUACCCGAAUGGGGAAACCCAGUGUGACUCGUCACACUAUCAUUAACUGAAUCCAUAGGUUAAUGAGGCGAACCGGGGGAACUGAAACAUCUAAGUACCCCGAGGAAAAGAAAUCAACCGAGAUUCCCCCAGUAGCGGCGAGCGAACGGGGAGGAGCCCAGAGCCUGAAUCAGCAUGUGUGUUAGUGGAAGCGUCUGGAAAGGCGCGCGAUACAGGGUGACAGCCCCGUACACAAAAGCGCAUGUGCUGUGAGCUCGAUGAGUAGGGCGGGACACGUGGUAUCCUGUCUGAAUAUGGGGGGACCAUCCUCCAAGGCUAAAUACUCCUGACUGACCGAUAGUGAACCAGUACCGUGAGGGAAAGGCGAAAAGAACCCCGGCGAGGGGAGUGAAAAAGAACCUGAAACCGUGUACGUACAAGCAGUGGGAGCACAGGUUUACCUGUGUGACUGCGUACCUUUUGUAUAAUGGGUCAGCGACUUAUAUUCUGUAGCAAGGUUAACCGAAUAGGGGAGCCGGAGGGAAACCGAGUCUUAAUUGGGCGUUAAGUUGCAGGGUAUAGACCCGAAACCCGGUGAUCUAGCCAUGGGCAGGUUGAAGGUUGGGUAACACUAACUGGAGGACCGAACCGACUAAUGUUGAAAAAUUAGCGGAUGACCUGUGGCUGGGGGUGAAAGGCCAAUCAAACCGGGAGAUAGCUGGUUCUCCCCGAAAGCUAUUUAGGUAGCGCCUCGUGAAUUCAUCUCCGGGGGUAGAGCACUGUUUCGGCUAGGGGGCCAUCCCGGCUUACCAACCCGAUGCAAACUGCGAAUACCGGAGAAUGUUAUCACGGGAGACACACGGCGGGUGCUAACGUCCGUCGUGAAGAGGGAAACAACCCAGACCGCCAGCUAAGGUCCCAAAGUCAUGGUUAAGUGGGAAACGAUGUGGGAAGGCCCAGACAGCCAGGAUGUUGGCUUAGAAGCAGCCAUCAUUUAAAAAAAAGCGUAAUAGCUCACUGGUCGAGUCGGCCUGCGCGGAAGAUGUAACGGGGCUAAACCAUGCACCGAAGCUGCGGCAGCGACACUGUGUGUUGUUGGGUAGGGGAGCGUUCUGUAAGCCUGCGAAGGUGUCCCGUGAGGGAUGCUGGAGGUAUCAGAAGUGCGAAUGCUGACAUAAGUAACGAUAAAGCGGGUGAAAAGCCCGCUCGCCGGAAGACCAAGGGUUCCUGUCCAACGUUAAUCGGGGCAGGGUGAGUCGACCCCUAAGGCGAGGCCGAAAGGCGUAGUCGAUGGGAAACGGGUUAAUAUUCCCGUACUUGGUGUUACUGCGAAGGGGGGACGGAGAAGGCUAUGUUGGCCGGGCGACGGUUGUCCCGGUUUAAGCGUGUAGGUGUGUGUUCCAGGUAAAUCCGGUUCACUUUAACACUGAGGCGUGACGACGAGGCACUACGGUGCUGAAGCAACAAAUGCCCUGCUUCCAGGAAAAGCCUCUAAGCAUCAGGUAACAUCAAAUCGUACCCCAAACCGACACAGGUGGUCAGGUAGAGAAUACCAAGGCGCUUGAGAGAACUCGGGUGAAGGAACUAGGCAAAAUGGUGCCGUAACUUCGGGAGAAGGCACGCUGACACGUAGGUGAAGUGAUUUACUCAUGGAGCUGAAGUCAGUCGAAGAUACCAGCUGGCUGCAACUGUUUAUUAAAAACACAGCACUGUGCAAACACGAAAGUGGACGUAUACGGUGUGACGCCUGCCCGGUGCCGGAAGGUUAAUUGAUGGGGUCAGCGCAAGCGAAGCUCCUGAUCGAAGCCCCGGUAAACGGCGGCCGUAACUAUAACGGUCCUAAGGUAGCGAAAUUCCUUGUCGGGUAAGUUCCGACCUGCACGAAUGGCGUAAUGAUGGCCAGGCUGUCUCCACCCGAGACUCAGUGAAAUUGAACUCGCUGUGAAGAUGCAGUGUACCCGCGGCAAGACGGAAAGACCCCGUGAACCUUUACUAUAGCUUGACACUGAACAUUGAGCCUUGAUGUGUAGGAUAGGUGGGAGGCUUUGAAGUGUGGACGCCAGUCUGCAUGGAGCCGACCUUGAAAUACCACCCUUUAAUGUUUGAUGUUCUAACGUGGACCCGUAAUCCGGGUUGCGGACAGUGUCUGGUGGGUAGUUUGACUGGGGCGGUCUCCUCCUAAAGAGUAACGGAGGAGCACGAAGGUUGGCUAAUCCUGGUCGGACAUCAGGAGGUUAGUGCAAUGGCAUAAGCCAGCUUGACUGCGAGCGUGACGGCGCGAGCAGGUGCGAAAGCAGGUCAUAGUGAUCCGGUGGUUCUGAAUGGAAGGGCCAUCGCUCAACGGAUAAAAGGUACUCCGGGGAUAACAGGCUGAUACCGCCCAAGAGUUCAUAUCGACGGCGGUGUUUGGCACCUCGAUGUCGGCUCAUCACAUCCUGGGGCUGAAGUAGGUCCCAAGGGUAUGGCUGUUCGCCAUUUAAAGUGGUACGCGAGCUGGGUUUAGAACGUCGUGAGACAGUUCGGUCCCUAUCUGCCGUGGGCGCUGGAGAACUGAGGGGGGCUGCUCCUAGUACGAGAGGACCGGAGUGGACGCAUCACUGGUGUUCGGGUUGUCAUGCCAAUGGCACUGCCCGGUAGCUAAAUGCGGAAGAGAUAAGUGCUGAAAGCAUCUAAGCACGAAACUUGCCCCGAGAUGAGUUCUCCCUGAGACUUAGAGUCUCCUGAAGGAACGUUGAAGACGACGACGUUGAUAGGCCGGGUGUGUAAGCGCAGCGAUGCGUUGAGCUAACCGGUACUAAUGAACCGUGAGGCUUAACCUU
rnacentral:rRNA from 1 species